AUACGGAGGAUCCGAGCGUUAUCCGGAUUUAUUGGGUUUAAAGGGUGCGCAGGCGGCCAUUUAAGUCAGCGGUUAAAUCGUGGGGCUCAACCCCAUUCUGCCGUUGAUACUGGGUGGCUUGAUUGCGGUCGAGGUUGGCGGAAUUCGUUGUGUAGCGGUGAAAUGCAUAGAUAUGACGAAGAACACCGAUUGCGUAGGCAGCUGACCAGACCGCAAAUGACGCUCAUGCACGAAAGUGCGGGGAUCGAACAGGAUUAGAUACCCUGGUAGUCCGCACAGUAAACGAUGAAUACUUGUUUUCGGCGAUAUAAUGUCGGAGGCAAAGCGAAAGCGAUAAGUAUUCCACCUGGGGAGUACGCCGGCAACGAUGAAACUUAAAGGAAUUGGCGGGG
rnacentral:rRNA from 1 species